rnacentral:ncRNA from 1 species
ACACGGGGUGCCGCCCGCCGGGCGGCUGAGAACACACCCGUCGAACCUGAUCUGGGUAGUUCCAGCGAAGGAAUGUCG